rnacentral:rRNA from 1 species
CCUACGGGUGGCAGCAGUCGGGAAUAUUGCACAAUGGGGGGAACCCUGAUGCAGCGACGCCGCGUGAGUGAAGAAGUAUUUCGGUAUGUAAAGCUCUAUCAGCAGGGAAGAAAAUGACGGUACCUGACUAAGAAGCCCCGGCUAACUACGUGCCAGCAGCCGCGGUAAUACGUAGGGGGCAAGCGUUAUCCGGAUUUACUGGGUGUAAAGGGAGCGUAGACGGCAGCACAAGUCUGGAGUGAAAUGCCGGGGCUUAACCCCGGAACUGCUUUGGAAACUGUGCAGCUAGAGUGCAGGAGAGGUAAGUGGAAUUCCUAGUGUAGCGGUGAAAUGCGUAGAUAUUAGGAGGAACACCAGUGGCGAAGGCGGCUUACUGGACUGUAACUGACGUUGAGGCUCGAAAGCGUGGGGAGCAAACAGGAUUAGAUACCCCAGUAGUC